GCUAAGGAGGCACAACAGAGCUAGGUUGCUCCCUCUCCAGUACUUAUUAGCUCAGUUAAGAGUUGCCUCCUGAGAGACCAGAGAUUUCACUCAUUCCAACUCCUUCCUUCUCUUCCAAUAUUCUAGGCAGCAGCGAGCAGCCAUCCAUCUGCAUCAGCGUGCUCUUUGGCUCUGGGUUGUACAGAGAUGGCACCUCAGAGCCAUUGAGGACAAAGGGCAACAGGAGGGGGCUGUUAGAAGAUGCCCCUCUGAGGAGCAUUAGCAAAAGAAGCUCAAGUGAAAGGGUAAGGAGAGAGUAGUUUGCAUUAGCAAAGACCUUCUCAGUGGAGCAACUCUUUCGUCCUCACUUCUCCAGGUUCUAGGAGAUGUUCCUGGACAGGCUGGCUGCCCAUGCCAGUGACAGAAAGGAAUCCUAUUCAUCCCACUGUCAGGCAAGGAAGGCUGAGCUUUAGAUGCCCCCAAACUUCCUUGUUGGGAGCCUCCAGAGGACAGAACCCGAGACACCAGCUUCUUCCAGACCAUUCACCCCUGUGAAGUCUUCAGCUUGGACAUUCUCCUUGCACUUAAGGCCAGAGGUGAGAGGAGAGAAAGAACAUGUGCCAAGAGUGUGGCCCAGACAUCCUGAUUCCCCAUUGUGGCAGCUUGGCCAGGAUGGGACAAGUCCCUUUCUAAGAGAGGGUUCAGAGAGAAAGCCAGAUUGAAGGCCAGACCCCCCCCCCCACCAGAAGCCUGCCCAGAUUUUCUUUUGCAUGGAAUCUUUUCUUGUAAACCAGACCACAGACUUGAAGGAUCCUUGACUCUCAAAAUUGGGGGGGCCUCCAGGUCCAAUAUUUGAACUCCCACCUGAAGCAGGGACAGAAUCAUCUAGACUUUGCUCUACUGUGGGCCAAAAACACAUCCCUACUCCUACUUGCCAGCAGAAGAAAAGGCUGCUACACUGGAACAUGAUUGGUCUUACGGGGGUGUCAGGCCUAUCCCUGCCCCACUCCUCCAGCAUCAGUGUCCUAAAGGGCUUCUACUAGAUUAAAUUUGAGCAACAAAAGAAAGCUGGUGAAAACAAGGAGAGCCUAUUGUCUUAGGGCUAAACCCCAUGUUCUUGGGGGCUGCAUUUGCUAUUGCUGCAAGCCAGGUAGAGCUUAGCCAUAGCUCCUGCCCAGCUCUCAUCAGUUUCUGGGAAGGAGCACUAUUGGAAGGGGAGCCCAGCAUGGUGCAGAUUCUGUUAAAUUUCCCCAUGAAUGUGGAAACAAAUCAAGGGAACUGCCAGCUAUCUAGAGGAGACUAGCAAUAGAGAAUCGGCAUUAACUCGAUCCUUGAGUGAUGACUGAGGUAUAUUUGCGUCACCAUGGAAACCUCACUGGCAGGGCCCACUUUCCCACACUGGCAACAGAGGUUGAUACCACAGCAGAUAAAUACUCCAACCUUUACAUGUAUGUGGGCUUGUUCCUAAGCUUGCUGGCAAUCUUGCUUAUCCUGCUCUUUACUAUGCUUCUGCGUCUCAAACAUGUCAUCUCUCCCAUCACCACUGAGAAUACUAGCAGCAGCCCCCAGUUCACUGACGUGGAGAUGCAGAGUAGGAUUCCCACUCCUUGAAAAUGGGGUGUGUUAGUGAUCAAGGGCCCCGUGACCUGUGAGUGCUCCCAGGCGGGGACACUGCACAGACCCUCUCAUGAAAGUGACCGGAAGCUCCAGUUUGCUUAGGGUUUCAUUCAUGUGGCCUGACCGAGUGCAAGACAUUGCACAGGUCUCUCACUUGUGGAGAUUCUCACUCGCCCAGAAACCUGGAAGAGGCAGCUGGCGGAAGGAAAGGCCAGGUUUCCAUAGUGAUGGGUACCCUUGAGCUCUACAAAAACCCACAUUCUAUUGUUGAAAAAGACAUGGGAUCCGUAGAAGGCUCCAGAAUAAGACAAGGUGACUUGCCCACAAAAUGGCUGAUGAUCUACAGAAGAAAAGGCCCUCUGGGUUUAAAGCACUCACUUGUCAUACUUAAAUACUAAAACAACACUUGUGUAGACCCGCUCAAAGGAGGCCUCAGCCCUCUCCAAAGGGAGCAGUAGUUGAAUCAUAUUGGACCAUCUAGCUGUCUCUGGGGGGGGGGGAAGCAGAUACUCAGGGAUGCUUCUCUGCUUAAGAGAGCAAGCUGACAGCAGGACAUUUCUGGGAAAUUAACUCAGCUGCUGAGAAAUAUGUGCCUCUUGUAUCUGUUUUACUACCAUUGCUGGACCUUGAAAAACCCAGAUAAGGAAAGUUGCUUCAUCACAAACUAUUGGAAAGAAGAGAUCCCAAACACACGAGGCAAAAUAAAGCUAAAAUGCUAUCACCGGGGCAAUGAAGAUUACAUUAGGCAGAGUGCUUCCCUUCCUUUCUCACCCUCCCCAUCCUGGUCCAGGAUGAAGCUCCUAGACAGAAAUGGGCAAGGAGGUGUGGGCUAAGCAUUUUAAAGUGGGAAGCCAAGAUCCCUGAGAUUCUGCCACUGAACCACUGGAGUUUGGGGCAAAACACUGAAAUCUGGGCCUUAAGUUUUUCUUUCUGUAAAAUGGACAAAUAGAUGGCAACAUAAUUGGCAGUAGGUUGUUCAUUGUGGCAGAUGGAGGGGGGAUAUGUGUGUGUGUGUGUGUGUGUGUGUGUGUGUGUGUGUGUGUGUGUGUGUGUGUGUGUAGAGUCGAGUAGAGCAAAAACAUAUAUAAAAUAUGCAUCUGUGAUCCCUGGCAUGUCCUGGCACUGGGAAAAAGAAACGGUCUCUAUUCAUGUUUUAUGUGUAAGAUACCUAAUUAAAAGGGACCUCACU